UACGGAGGAUCCGAGCGUUAUCCGGAUUUAUUGGGUUUAAAGGGUGCGCAGGCGGGAUGUUAAGUCGGCGGUGAAAUUUUGCAGCUCAACUGUAAAAGUGCCUUCGAUACUGGCUUCCUUGAGUGUGGAUGAAGUAGGCGGAAUUUGUGGUGUAGCGGUGAAAUGCAUAGAUAUCACGAGGAACUCCGAUUGCGCAGGCAGCUUACUAAACUACUACUGACGCUCAGGCACGAAGGCGUGGGGAUCAAACAGGAUUAGAUA
rnacentral:rRNA from 1 species